rnacentral:rRNA from 1 species
GAUGAACGCUGGCGGCGUGCCUAAUACAUGCAAGUCGAGCGAACAGACGAGGAGCUUGCUCCUCUGACGUUAGCGGCGGACGGGUGAGUAACACGUGGAUAACCUACCUAUAAGACUGGGAUAACUUCGGGAAACCGGAGCUAAUACCGGAUAAUAUAUUGAACCGCAUGGUUCAAUAGUGAAAGACGGUUUUGCUGUCACUUAUAGAUGGAUCCGCGCCGCAUUAGCUAGUUGGUAAGGUAACGGCUUACCAAGGCGACGAUGCGUAGCCGACCUGAGAGGGUGAUCGGCCACAAUGGAACUGAGACACGGUCCAGACUCCUACGGGAGGCAGCAGUAGGGAAUCUUCCGCAAUGGGCGAAAGCCUGACGGAGCAACGCCGCGUGAGUGAUGAAGGUCUUCGGAUCGUAAAACUCUGUUAUUAGGGAAGAACAAAUGUGUAAGUAACUAUGCACGUCUUGACGGUACCUAAUCAGAAAGCCACGGCUAACUAC